CCAGACUCCUACGGGAGGCAGCAGUGGGGAAUAUUGCACAAUGGGGGAAACCCUGAUGCAGCGACGCCGCGUGAGUGAAGAAGUAUUUCGGUAUGUAAAGCUCUAUCAGCAGGGAAGAUAAUGACGGUACCUGACUAAGAAGCCCCGGCUAACUACGUGCCAGCAGCCGCGGUAAUACGUAGGGGGCAAGCGUUAUCCGGAUUUACUGGGUGUAAAGGGUGCGCAGGUGGCAGGGCAAGUCAGAUGUGAAAGCCCGGGGCUCAACCCCGGUAUUGCAUUUGAAACUGUCCGGCUAGAGUGCAGGAGAGGUAAGCGGAAUUCCUAGUGUAGCGGUGAAAUGCGUAGAUAUUAGGAGGAACACCAGUGGCGAAGGCGGCUUACUGGACUGUAACUGACACUGAGGCACGAAAGCGUGGGGAGCAAACAGGAUUAGAUACCCCAGUA
rnacentral:rRNA from 1 species